AGCGGAAGACUUGGAUGAUGCUGCAGAGAAAGCAGUUAAAGCAGCAGCUAGUUGAGAAUCAAGAAAUGAAACCCAGGUUAUUGCCCUUGGAAUUUUUUCUUUUCCCAUCUAGGUGAUGAGAGAACCCCAGGCCUAGACAGUCCUUUCUGAAAUUUGCUGUAUGCCUUGCAAGGGAAGAAGCUAAUGAUAAAAGAUGGAAAAUUUUCAGACAACGGACGAUGUUAAGCCUUUGUAUUUCCAGUGAUUUACACAUUAUAUGCCCUUAGCUUGUUCACUGGCUUCCCCAUCCAAUAAAAUGUACCUGCAAAAUUUCUUGUAAAACAAUGGUUAAAUCCCCUGAAAUCGAAUGAAGAGGGGGGGAAUGAGAUUUGCUUAUUGAUUAUUCCUUAAAUACAA
rnacentral:misc_RNA from 1 species